CCUACGGGAGGCAGCAGGGGGGAAUCUUAGACAAUGGGGGAAACCCUGAUCUAGCCAUGCCGCGUGAGCGGUGAAGGCCUUAGGGUCGUAAAGCUCUUUCGCCAGGGAUGAUAAUGACAGUACCUGGUAAAGAAACCCCGGCUAACUCCGUGCCAGCAGCCGCGGUAAUACGGAGGGGGUUAGCGUUGUUCGGAAUUACUGGGCGUAAGGCGCGCGUAGGCGGACUAUUAAGUCGGGGGUGAAAUCCCGGGGCUCAACCCCGGAACUGCCUUUGAUACUGGUAGUCUAGAGUUCGAGAGAGGUGAGUGGAAUUCCGAGUGUAGAGGUGAAAUUCGUAGAUAUUCGGAGGAACACCAGUGGCGAAGGCGGCUCACUGGCUCGAUACUGACGCUGAGGUGCGAAAGUGUGGGGAGCAAACAGGAUUAGAUACCCUGGUAGUCCACACCGUAAACGAUGAAUGCCAGUCGUCGGGUAGCAUGCUAUUCGGUGACACACCUAACGGAUUAAGCAUUCCGCCUGGGGAGUACGGUCGCAAGAUUAAAACUCAAAGGAAGUGACGG
rnacentral:rRNA from 1 species